GUAACUCAUUGCCUCAAUUACUCUUCUUGAUUUCUGAUGUAAUUGAAUCUGAGCUUUGUGAUGGUGGUGAUUAUUAGCCAAAAAGAUGACCAUAUUUCUUUCAAGUUGGGAGAACACAUGGCAAAGACCCAAGGAGGUUAGGUCUGAAAAGCAACACAAAACAUGAACCACUCCCUCCUUGGACCUUUUCUGCGAAGAAUAGUUCGAAUCAUUACCCAUUUCUCCAACGAGCCAGAUCCUUUGGAAAUCAUGCAAAAACACCAAGAGCAAUAACAAGACCAGCAACACAAAAUAGGUUAGAAAGUCUGUGAAGAUCUGUUUCUCUUGGCUUCUUGGACAGUGGUCAGUAGAGAGCUGUGGCAAUGUGAUCUCAGUUCAGGGGCAUAUGGCAUAGCAUAUUAAGGGAGGAGCGGGUGCCUGUCAAAGACCAGUGUAGGAGGUCUGUGCUUUCCAGGCAGUGGCUAUCCAGCCAGAGUCACUCUUGUGCUUGCAGUGGGCAUUGCUCGCUCUGACACAGUUUGUUAGGGCUCAGAAUGGUCUUCGGGUUUCUUCUCUACCUCUUCUUCUGCUACCCAACUGGCCCCGCACUUGUCUUUUAGAAGACUGACUGAAAGGUCCACCAGUAUGGAAACAGAGUGGAAAGAUCUGGAAUGACUCCUGGCUAACUGAGGAGCUCUGGUCUUCUCUGCUUCUCCGUCCUUGCAUGACCAGGCAUAGGAGAGGUCGUCUGCAGAAUGGCCAGUAGGCGUUCUCUCUAGAAGCCUCCCUGGAUGGCUUACCAAAGGGAAUUUACCACACUUGGGUUUGGCUUUAGGCAACAGCCUCAGAAAGAGUAUCGGGUCAAUACAUUAAAACACGGGACCGCUGCUCUCCAGCACAGAUACACAAUUACUUGACUCAGGACACUCAAGUGUAAAACCAGAAUUCUGAUCCAUCGAUUUUCCACAAAAAAUAUAACUGCACAGAGGCUGGAGUCUCAAGAACUCCACAGAGCUCAUGCUACCUGGGGCGCGAACUCACAAUCAGAGAAAAUGUGGUCAGCCAGGAUUCAGAACCAGGAGUGUUCAUGAUAAGGUUUCAGUUAAAGUGAUGCAUGUUCUCUGUUGUGGGUUGAAUGGUGCCCC